CAUUACCGAGUUUUCGAGCUCCGGCUCGACUCUCCCACCCUUUGUGAACGUACCUCUGUUGCUUUGGCGGCUCCGGCCGCCAAAGGACCUUCAAACUCCAGUCAGUAAACGCAGACGUCUGAUAAACAAGUUAAUAAACUAAAACUUUCAACAACGGAUCUCUUGGUUCUGGCAUCGAUGAAGAACGCAGCGAAAUGCGAUAAGUAAUGUGAAUUGCAGAAUUCAGUGAAUCAUCGAAUCUUUGAACGCACAUUGCGCCCCUUGGUAUUCCGGGGGGCAUGCCUGUUCGAGCGUCAUUACAACCCUCAAGCUCUGCUUGGAAUUGGGCACCGUCCUCACUGCGGACGCGCCUCAAAGACCUCGGCGGUGGCUGUUCAGCCCUCAAGCGUAGUAGAAUACACCUCGCUUUGGAGCGGUUGGCGUCGCCCGCCGGACGAACCUUCUGAACUUUUCUCAAGGUUGACCUCGGAUCAGGUAGGGAUACCCGCUGAACUUAAGCAUAUCAAUAAGCGGAGG
rnacentral:rRNA from 1 species